rnacentral:misc_RNA from 1 species
AAGUCGUAACAAGGUUUCCGUAGGUGAACCUGCGGAAGGAUCAUUCACACUUAAAAGGAGUCUGAGCAGUCACAUGCUUCAUUCUCUGAUUCUCCAAACUCAAACCCCAAUAUGCUAACGCUCCAAAAUAAGGCUCCCUUUGCUCUCUUCGGAGGACAAUGUAGGAGUAGUGCUUGUGGCUGAUGUGAGGACAGUGUCUUCGGACAUUGUUUUUCAUCUCCCGGGCAUGCCUAAUCAACUGAUUUUAUUACCCCCCGUCGUCGCUUGUGGAGCUUGCUCUGCUUGUGAUUGUCAUUCUGGACUAAGUCUGCUUCUCUUCGACUUAAGCACUCGAUGUAUGAAGCAUGUUCGACACAUACGCAACACUAGAGAAAGAAUACAACUCUUUGCAAUGGAUAUCUUGGUUCUC